rnacentral:tRNA from 1 species
GGGGCCCUAGCUCAGCUGGGAGAGCACCUGCUUUGCAAGCAGGGGGUCGUCGGUUCGAUCCCGACAGGCUCCACCAUUUGAGUGAAACGACUUUGGGUCUGUAGCUCAGGUGGUUAGAGCGCACCCCUGAUAAGGGUGAGGUCGGUGGUUCGAGUCCUCCCAGACCCACCACUCUGAAUGUAGUGCACACUUAAGAAUUUAUAUGGAUCAGCGUUGAGGCUGAGACAUGUUCUUUUAUAACUUGUGACGUAGCGAGCGUUUGAGAUAUCUAUCUAAACGUGUCGUUGAGGCUAAGGCGGGGACUUCGAGUCCCUAAAUAAUUGAGUCGUAUGUUCGCGUUGGUGGCUUUG